UCAAAAAAAAAACCUGGGUUUCCGUGUCCAACGUUUAACUAUCCGUCUUGUAUGAAUUUUUUUAUAAUUAGUAUUUUCAUAGUUGUUAGAUGAUAAAACAUGAUUAAUACUUUAUAUGUGACUUGUCUUUUUAAUUUUUUUUCAUAAAUUUUUCAAAUAAAACUGACGGUCAAACGUUGGACACGGAAAACCAGGGUUUGUCUUUUU
rfam:Oryza rufipogon genomic scaffold, chr05